AUAAUUUAAUACUAGGAUUUUAUCUAUUACAAUUGUUCAGAUUUACAAAGAAGAAAUACAUUAUAGGUUGAGUAUAAAAAAUAAUAACAUGAAUAUCUGAAAUAUCCAUUACUAAAGAUUGUAAUGAUUAUAGCUUAUGCAACACGAAUGUAAUUAUAAUGAUAAAAAAUGCUUAUAAGGAACGGUGUUUUUUUGUCUUCUAAACUGGUAUUUAAAAUUAUGACAUUUUUGUAUAAGCAAAAACAAAUUGCCAGUUUACAGAGGUGUGUGUAUAUGCCUCUUGUUUUUCUAAUUGAAAUUUAACAGUUAAUUACAAAAAUAUGAAUUAUACAUGGGGGGAAUACCAUCUAAUGAUUAAUACUUCUUAAUAUGAGAAUGAUGAUUAUUGGAACAUUUUCUUUUGAAUAUUUUAUACAUGAGUGAAAAUUAAAAGAGUAUACAUAUUUGUAUAUUGCUAUGUGACAAAAAUCUAGAAUGAAUAUAUGAUUUAUAUGAAAAGAAAAUUGUCUUGAAGAAGAUGGCAAAGUUUUAACAGUCCUAUAUAGAGAAAUGAAGAUAGGACUGCUACUUUCUGCAUUUGAAAUUUUAAAAAGGUAUUUCAAAAAUGAACAUUUAAACAAUACAGGAAAUUUUAAAGAGAACCAAUUUGUGCCUGUCUUCAUCCUUGCCCAUCAGCAUCGUGGGAGUAUUGGCCUGUUGUAUCCAAUUUUUUAUUCCCAGUGGCCAUCGUGAAUGGUUUUUGAAUGAUCUCAUGAAGAACAUAUGAUUUAUAUGCUAGUUCAGCUGAGUCUUACAAUGAAGCAAAGAGUAUUGGAUUACCCAUGGGAAAAAGGCAGAUGAUGGAGUUGGAGAAGGUGAUAGUUCCAAAAGGGACACUUAUGUCAUCUUUGUUUUUAAUCCCAAGGGAAUGGUACCUGCUAUCAGUGAAUGAUCUGUUGCAGUAUUCUCAUUCAAGUGGUUCUUCAUUCUCUCAGCAGUAUGAUUGUGAUAACUGAAAAGAACGUAUGCCAUUAUUUCUACUGCCAGCAUUAUCAAAAGCAAAGUAUGGUCUUCAUAAUGUACAGAGACAACUACUUAUUUAUGUGUGUUGCAGUGACCACUCCUUGCAGAUCAAAGCAAAAACAAAACAAAACCUAGAUGAGAAAUGUCAUUUUUGGAAAGUGACCUAAAGAGUGUCAUGGAAGUAAAUUUUAACUAGGCGUGAUUGUCUUCAUCAUUGCUGUUGGACUAAAUCUCAGGAGCAGGAAUGACUCAGACAUUAUUGUACAAAGAAACUCAGGAUGGUGGAAUUAAAAGGGCUUCAUCUCAGUGCUUUCAUAAGUAUGAAGUGUAUAUAUUUAUAAUUUUCACUAAUCACAGGGUAAAUUUAAAACUGACAAAACAUCUUCAAGAACACAAAGGAUAUGGAAUUUUAUAAAUUAUAGUAUUUUUACUUAAGUGCCUUUUUCUUUCUAUCACCAAUCUAUUUUUUUAUUAAAAAGUUGGUACAUAAGUAGUUUUUUGAGGAAUAAUAUUAACUACAGAUUUUCUAUGUAGUGAACAUGCUUCUGUAAGUUUGAAUUCAUCCAACCCCUGUGUUGGAAUAAUUGUUAUGGAUUGGAACUGUAGGGGCAAAGUAUAUACAGAAUCUAUUAAUAUGUAUUGAGUAAACUUCCCAUACUUCCUAAAAUUGUACAAGUGUAAGAUGUCAGUAUUUUUAAUCAUUGAUAAUGUAAUGUUGUUAUACAAAGAAAUUUCUUUUUUCAUCUAUUAAUGAUGUUAAGCUACAUCAUCUUAAUACAGUCUUCUUACUCACUUUUGUUAUUUAAUUUUCCUCUAUUCCUAUUAUUUUCAUUUCCCUUGUAAUAUUACUCUCUGUUACUGAUUUCUAAGAGCCAUUUAUCAUAAGGAUGUUAACAUUAUGUCAAACAUUGCAAAUUAAAUACCAUGUUUUUUCUUGUUUAUU